rnacentral:rRNA from 1 species
AGUGGGGAAUAUUGGACAAUGGGCGAAAGCCUGAUCCAGCAACGCCGCGUGAAGGACGAAGGUCUUCGGAUUGUAAACUUCUGUUAUGAGGGAAAAAGAAAGUGAUGGUACCUCAUGAGAAAGCCACGGCUAACUACGUGCCAGCAGCCGCGGUAAAACGUAGGUGGCAAGCGUUAUCCGGAAUUACUGGGCGUAAAGAGAGUGUAGGUGGCUAGGUAAGUCACAUGUGAAAGCCCACGGCUCAACCGUGGAACUGCAUGUGAUACUGCAUAGCUAGAGUAUAGGAGAGGUAAGCGGAAUUCCUAGUGUAGCGGUAGAAUGCGUAGAUAUUAGGAGGAACACCAGAGGCGAAGGCGGCUUACUGGCCUAACACUGACACUGAGACUCGAAAGCGUGGGGAGCAAACAGGAUUAGAUACCCUGGUAGUCCACGCCCUAAACGAUGGAUACUAGAUGUGGGGA